rnacentral:tRNA from 1 species
GCCUGAGUAGCUCAUUGGUAGAGCAGAGGACUGAAAAUCCUUGUGUAGAGAGUUCGAUUCUCUCCUCAGGCA